GACGAACGCUGGCGGCGUGCUUAACACAUGCGAGUCGAACGGUGAAGGGACCGGUUUUUGCUGGUUCUGGAUGAGUGGCGAACGGGUGAGUAACACGUGAGUAACCUGCUCCCUUCUUCUGGAUAACCGCAUGAAAGUGUGGCUAUUACGGGAUAUUCUGCGCCUGCUGCAUGGUGGGUGUGGGAAAGAUAUUGUUUCGGUGGGGGAUGGGCUGGCGGCCUAUCAGCUUGUUGGUGGGGUGAUGGCCUACCAAGGCGGUGACGGGUAGCCGGCCUGAGAGGGUGGACGGUCACACUGGGACUGAGACACGGCCCAGACUCCUACGGGAGGCAGCAGUGGGUAAUAUUGCACGAUGGGCGCAAGCCUGAUGCAGCGACGCCGCGUGAGAGAUGGAGGCCUUCGGGUUGUAAACCUCUUUCGCCAGUGAAGCAGGCCUGUCCCUUUUGUGGGUGGGUUGACGGUAGCUGGAGAAGAAGCGCCGGCUAACUACGUG
rnacentral:rRNA from 1 species